GCAGCAACAGCUCAGUGGUAGAGCCCCCGCUUCGCGUUCGGGGAGACCUGGGUUCGGUCCCCGGUUGCUUCC
rfam:Toxocara canis scaffold583, whole genome shotgun sequence.